CAACCGGCGACGCGGGGUGCCGGCAAGAUGGGAGGGGGGUGGUUUGUUGUCGUUUUGCGAAGCGUUCCCCUCUUCCUGCCACCCCUCAGUCAGUCCGUCCAGGGUGGUGAGAGAUGACUAUAACCACCCCCCCCCCGUUUAAAGACUUUUGACACGGGAUAAUAACCGUACAGUUAUCCGGCCGGCUGUUUGGGCAGGAAUCGGCAGGAGCGAGUCGCAAACUGGAGCUCUGAAACCCAGUGCAACGCUGAGGGAGUACGCCCGCAGCAGGAAGUAGACAACAAUCAGGUUUGAACUCCACAAAUUGGCAAUGACUAUUUCCAUCGAGAAGAUGUCCGUCCUCCCACCUCUGACAUAAACCAUCCCGCGAGUCCCCGUUGACCGAACCAGUUCAGGUCAGGGUGGUCAGAACCAUGUGAUCACUGACCAAGUUAUCAUUCCAAGCCUUCCAGUACCUACAAAGGUGCAGGUCGGGCCUGAUGAACUGAAUGAAUGCAGCUCCGCAGAUCAAAAGGAAAUCUGUAAAACCACAUCCCUUAGAUGUGGUACAAUCUCGUGGCUAAUUUGCCGUGCUACGUGAUGCUGAUGGCAUGAUUACCUACAGCAGGUACCUCAAGGCACUUGGAAGAUACGUUUGCAAAAUCGUCCAAUUGCCCUGGAAAGAUACUGGAUCUGCUACUAGGGAAUGAGACGGGAAUUUGAUGGCUGCAACACACUCAACCAAAGUUGGGACAGAGAUAAAGUAAGAUUGAAAAGAGCACAGAAUAUUCAAGUAACACCGGUUUGGAAGACUCCACGUUAAGCAGGCUAAUUGGUAGCAGUAGCGUCCAUCAAAGGCUCAGUCUUUGCCAGCAAGGAUGGGUUGUGGCUCACCCCUUUGUGCCAAAAUUCGUGAGAGAAUUGUUAGUCAGUUCAAAAGGAACAUUUCCCAACGCAAGAUUGCAGAGAAUUUAGGUCUUUCAACAUCUACAGUACAUAAUAUUGUGAAGAGAUUCAGAGAAUUCAGAGACAUCUCACUGCGUAAAGGGCAAGGUCAGAAACCACUGUUGAAUGCUCGUGAUCUUCGAGUCCUCAGGUGGCACUGCCUAAGAAGCCGUCAUGCUACUGUGACAAUUAUAGCCACCUGGGCUUGGGAGUACUUCGGAAAACCAUUGUCACUUAACACAGUCCGACGCUGCAUCCAGAAAUGCAACUUGAAACUGUAUUACGCAAGGAUGAAGCCAUACAUCAACUCUAUGCAGAAACGCCGGUGAGUUCUCUGGGCCCGAGCUCAUCUCAGAUGGACCAAAAGACUGUGGAACCAUGUGCUGUGGUCAGAUGAGUCCAAAUUUCAGCUAGUUUUCGGAAAAAACGGGCAUCGAUUUCUUCGUGCCAAAGAUGAAAACGACCAUCCUGAUUGUUAUCAGCAAAAGGUGCAAAACCCAGCAUCUGUGAUGGUACGGGGGUGCAUCAAUGCCCAUGGCAUGGGUGAGUUGCAAGUAUGUGAAGGUACCAUUGACUCUGAGACAUAUAUUAGGACUUUAGAGAGACAUAUGUUGCCAUCAAGGUGACGUCUCUUCCCGGGACGUCCAUGUUUAUUUCAGCAGGACAAUGCCAGACCACAUUCUGCACCGGCUACAACAGCAUGGCUUUGUAGACACAGAGUGCGUGUGCUUGACUGGCCUGUUGCCAGUCCAGAUCUAUCUCCUGUUGAAAAUGUAUGGCGCAUCAUGAAGAGGAGAAUCAGACAAUGGAGACCACGGACUGUUGAGCAG